rnacentral:rRNA from 1 species
UACGUAGGGGGCAAGCGUUGUCCGGAAUCAUUGGGCGUAAAGCGCGUGUAGGCGGCCCGAUAAGUCCGCUGUGAAAGUCCAGGGCUCAACCCUGGGAUGCCGGUGGAUACUGUCGGGCUCGAGUCCGGAAGAGGCGAGUGGAAUUCCUGGUGUAGCGGUGAAAUGCGCAGAUAUCGGGAGGAACACCUAUGGCGAAGGCAGCUCGCUGGGACGUUACUGACGCUGAGACGCGAAAGCGUGGGGAGCAAACAGG